AUGCAUUAGGAUAGUGUGUGCAUUAACAGAAACUGUUUUAUCGUCUGAAAGACCUCUUUGGUAACACAACUGACCUAUCGGUAAGCCCCUUCCCUCAAACUCAGACAUCUUUAGGUUUCAGCGCCAUAGAGAAUCCCUGGAAGAUCCAAAGCUCACAUCGGUUUGAUGGUGUUUGCUACAAAAAUAGAGAAAUUAUGUGCCUGGAAAUUAUGUUAUGUACCCUUUAAACCUUUAAUUAAACCCAUUUAAUUAACUUUUGUGCUUUUCUAUAGUAUUUAGCCUCAAAUGCCAAAUAUACAUUGGAUUGCCCUGCUGAAAAAAACAAUAGAAACCAUUACAGAAUUUGUAAUGGUUUUAAUGGUUCUUAUUGGAAUUCUAAUGGUUUUAAUGGACACUGUAAUGGUCUCUGUGGGUCUCUAUUGGUAAUUUGCUUUCUUCUAUUGGUGGCGUGUAUUGUCUAUUGGAUACCAUUAAGGACCAAUAGAACACCUUUAGAAACUUCUAGUGGUAUCUACUGGACACCAGUAGAAACCAUUAUGACUCCAAUAAAUUUAGUGGUUUCUUUGGAAAACUGUAAUGGUCUUAGUGGGUAGGCUACUGCUGAAAAAAAAUGAACACACGAACAAUAGAAACUAUUACAAAAUUUGUAAUGGUUUUAAUGGUUAUAAUGGGAAUUAUGUUGGUUGUAAUGGUCACAGUAAUGGUCCCUGUGGGUCUCUAUUGGUAAAUUGCUUUCUUCUAUUGGUGGUAUGUAUUGUCUUGGAUUGCCACCAUACGUCAUUUGGAAAGGUUAUUUUUAAUUCAUUUAAUUUUUUUUUUUUUUUUUUUUUUUUUAAUCAACUCGACUCGUCAUGGCCUUCAAAAUUGACUUGAAAAGUUGGUCUUUGUUUUGUCUGUCGGAUUUGGUCCAAAUUUAGCCCAAAAAUAGAUGUGAAAUAACAGUGAAAUUCUGCGUGACUUCCACGUGCUGUAAUGUGCGCGCACGCAGAACUGGAGCGGAGGACGUCACCAUGGAAACGAGGCGGCAGCCCAACCGUCAAGCAGCUGAUCGCUGACACUCAAUGUGGUUUCACUUUUUUUUUAGAAAUGGUUUAGCGUCGUCAGAAAAAGUCCGUUAGCAUCUCAAAGAAGUGCCAGAAAAAAACCUCUAUGACGCAGGAGAAGUUCCUGAUUUUAACAUUUCUGAAGGGAGCUGCUGACAGAGAGGAUGAAAACAUACACAUUUUGAUGUCCACGCUGUAGGAGCAUUACUAAAUAAGUUCUUCCAUGCUGAUGGCUGUGCUCUAGUCAUAUCUCCUGUCGAAGAACAUUUUUAGACAUUAUGAACCAUGAAUAAGUUUAGCUCCAACCCCAGUUAAGCGGACCUGAGCAGCUGAUCAAGGAUCACCAGAAACUCUGCAGAACGGUGGUCCUCCAGCCCAGGACUGGACACCAGUGUUAGUGUCUGUCUCAGAAGCUGAAGAAAAAAGGCCACACCUUAUAGGAAAUAAACGCCUCCUAAGUGUAUGGAAAUACCUGGCUGAGGAGAUCAGUGACAUAAACCAGAUAAAACUGUCAGUGGUCUGAGACAGCUACAAGCCACAAAAACAGUUCAUAGUUCCUGCAUUUCUAUAAUGCAUUAAUGAAUAACAAUAAUUUAAAUAAAAUGUAAUGUCAAGGUUUUGUGUUAAUUCCAGCUAUGUUGAGUAUUCUGUGAAUAAUUUUGAUUUUAGGUGCAUAUUCUUAAUUCUUUGCAAAACAACCUGAACUGUUUGCUAUUGAAAGGUUGGUAUGAAGUUUAAAUAAAUAAAAACAUUAUAUUCUUGACAAAACCUGUGUACAGUUUGUAUUAAUAAUUUAAAUUAUUUACUUAUAUUAAUUAAUGGCCUAAUUACCAGCUAUCAGUUAAACAUUCAAAUCAGAACCAAUAUAAAAGUGCAACGAAAACUAUUAAAUAUAUGCAAAUAAAGACCAGUACAAACUUGCAAUGGAACCAUCAGAACCAUUACAAAACUGACGGAAACCAUUAAAUUUGUUUUAAUAAAGACCAAUACAAACUUGUAAUGGAACCAUCAGAACCAUUACAAAACCAACGGAAACCAUUAAAUUUGUUUGAAUAAAGACCAAUACAAACUUGUAAUGGAACCAUCAGAACCAUUACAAAACCAACAGAAACCAUUAAAUUAGUUUUAAUAAAGACCAAUACAAACUUGUAAUGGAACCAUCAGAACCAUUACAAAACCAACAGAAACCAUUAAAUUUGUUUUAAUAAAGACCAAUACAAACUUGUAAUGGAACCAUCAGAACCAUUACAAAACCAACAGAAACCAUUAAAUUUGUUUGAAUAAAGACCAAUACAA